UUUCAUGAAUACAUGCAUGUGUUUGGUUGUGGCGUGUGCAUGUGCUCUGGUCAGCAUCUCUUCUGUUCUCUAAAUCCUCUUCUGUGUUUUGCUCUCUCCAGCACAAUACCAGCAUCAGUUGCCCUGCUGGGUCACACACACACACAUGAAAAAAGGUUUUUACUCUGUGGAUAUGGUAUGUGUUCAGAACAGAGAACACAGGAGAAGAGAACAGUGCGGUCACUGGCUCCGCCUUGAGGCGUUCUCUGUAACUGCAAUCAAAAAGUAGUAUGGCGUCCAAACUCUCUCAGAGACCAAACUCGGAUGUCAGCAGACAUCACAAGGACGAAAAUUUUAUAACAAAUGCAUGGCGUAGUAUGACCGCAGCGUUCCAUCUGAUAUCAGAGAAUGAAGCGAGAGAUUCCAGCCAUCCUCAGUCAUUUCUCGGCCAACAGAGAAUG